rnacentral:rRNA from 1 species
AACGCUGGCGGCGUGCCUAAUACAUGCAAGUCGAACGGUCUUUCUAUGGAAGCUGCUUCCACUGAGAAGAUAGUGGCGAACGGGUGAGUAACACGUGGGUAACCUGCCCAUAAGAGGGGGAUAACAUCCGGAAACGGGUGCUAAUACCGCAUAGUUUUCUUGAUCGCAUGAUCGGGAAAGGAAAGACGGCCUUUGUGCUGUCGCUUAUGGAUGGACCCGCGGCGUAUUAGUUAGUUGGUGAGGUAACGGCUCACCAAGACGAUGAUACGUAGCCGACCUGAGAGGGUGAUCGGCCACAUUGGGACUGAGACACGGCCCAAACUCCUACGGGAGGCAGCAGUAGGGAAUCUUCCGCAAUGGACGAAAGUCUGACGGAGCAACGCCGCGUGAGUGAAGAAGGUUUUCGGGAAUCGUAAAACUCUGUUGUCAGAGAAGAACAAGUUGGAGAGUAACUGCUCCAGCCUUGACGGUAUCUGACCAGAAAGCCACGGCUAACUACGUGCCAGCAGCUGC